UACGUAGGGGGCAAGCGUUGUCCGGAAUCAUUGGGCGUAAAGAGCGCGUAGGCGGUCCGGUAAGUCCGCUCUGAAAGUCCGGGGCUCAACCCCGGGAGGCGGGCGGAUACUGCCGGGCUAGAGUCCGGAAGAGGCGAGUGGAAUUCCUGGUGUGGCGGUGAAAUGCGCAGAUAUCAGGAGGAACACCGGUGGCGAAGGCGGGUCUCUGGGCCGAUACUGACGCUGAGGAGCGAAAGCGUGGGGAGCGAACAGG
rnacentral:rRNA from 1 species